GCCGGGGUCCCGCUGCGCCCGCACGGGGCAGGUGCUGUGGCUGAGGGGUUGGGGCGCCUCGGGUACCGGGAAGCGGGUCUCCCUAGAGCGCUUCCCGGGCACCUGCCUCCGCUCCGGUGCCCGGCCCACCCACCCACCCACCCAGUCCCUGCAGCCACUGACCUCUGGGCCCCAGCCCUCUGGGAACCUGCGCCCGGGAGGCGGGGGCCCCGCGGGUGCGAGCUCGCCGGGUGUGGGAGCCAGCCCUGCUGCCCGCUUCGCGCCCGCCUCAUUCCUUUGGGGCAUGAUUGCACUGACUUGGGGGCAUUUGGGGGGGGCAUCUCGGAUUAUAGAUUUGGCUACAAUGGCAAUCAGGAACAAAGACCCCGUGAACCACUCUCCUAAAAGGAGCUGUGAGAUGGAAAGGAACAGUUGCCCCAGCUGUGUCCGCAGACCGACUACACCGGAAGCAGAGACCAGAAGGGUCCGCACUUGUCUCUGGACACGAGGAAUGGCAAGCCUCUUUCCAGAAGGACAGACUUUGGUGUGGUCUGCAGCUUCCAAACACCUGGUCCAUUGCUCCUUUGCCUUUCCUGGUAGUUUGGAGAGGACUGACGGACCGGUAAGGAAAGGGUGGCUGCCCGUGACAUGGAUUGUAAAGGAACAGGAAACAGGAAGUGUGCCUCCUUCAUCUGUUUGUAAUAAUCUUUUUCAAUUUUAAAAAAUUAAAA